UAAUCGUUGGUACCGGAAAUCAAAUUCUUUCUGGAACAUGCAUAAGAAACUCUCACAACGUGGGUGCCUAGAAAUUCGAAAACGAAAUACAAUAGCGAACAACGGAUUAACUGCUUGAGAAUGAUUCCAUUUCGCUCGAUUCGAGUAUUGCUGUCUCAGUACCACGGGUGGUUUCUGGAAUAUGGACAAUAGUUUUGGGACGUGACUUGCUUCGGUUGAGCCGUUCUUUUCAUAUGUCUAUCUCGUCUCAUACGAAAGAUCGAGAAGUCCGGUAAGUGCGCAUCGCCACCACAGGAAGUAGGCCGUUCCGAUACAAACUUAAAAAACGAAUUCGCGCUGAAGUAAACAAUUUCGACGCCAGAGAGUUCGCUCGACGAUUAUAAGUGAUCCAUAUUUAUGAUUAUUUGUACUCAUCUUAAAAGUAGUACAAGCACUCCUACACAGGAUUAUACAAGAAAAUUAAAAGCGAAUUGCAUUAUUUUUCAAACCCCUUGGAAACUGGGAAUCUUCCGUAUGGAUAGAAAAGUACGGGCUGCACGUAUAGGUACGGGUCGUUGACCAUCACGCACCACCUCCGAGCACCCCGUCAGGCAGCGGAACCUUAAUCAGAGACGAACCCCACGCGUCACGGAUCAAAGAGUCCUGAGUUAAGUACCCAGAGCACACAGGUUUUUUGAAGACCAGAGAACUUCCCUGUGCCGCGAAUCCGCUCCCCGCGAGUCAUCAAUAGUGUAUUUCUUUUUUUUUUUAUUAAAUUAAUAAGGUUUUUUUAUAUAUUUAAUGAAUCAAAACUUUUUUUGUUAUAAUAAUUGUAUUUUUGUAUUUGAUUUAGAUUUGUAUCCGCCGUCACGCGGACAUAACAACUUCAUAAUAAGGAUUCCACACAAUGCAGCAUUAUUCUAAGGUACUGCGUACGAGAGCAUUAUAAGUUGUGAAAUUAACAACAAAUUUUGAUUUUCCGAAUAAAAUAGAAAUUAAUAAAUAAAUAAAAGGUUAUGCCAAUUAAAUCUAAAUAUCCCUAUAUUAUUAUGCGUAAGUCAUAAGAAUCAAGUGAAUGCCCCUGGACAAAUACUCUGAACAAAUAUUAAUAUAUUUUAUUAUGUAUUUUUCUGCUUCUUCACUUAGACAUUUAUGUCCACCUUGAGAUUUCAUUGUUCUUGUUACAACUUGUAAAAUCCGACUUACUUGUAUUAAAUUGCUUAGCUAUUUCAACUAACGGCUUAUUCCCAAUUUCCUAGGCUUCUGUUGCUGUUUUUAAUAUUAUGGGAUAUAUCAAUUUUGAUACGUACACGCGAGGCAUAUCAAAAAAUAGAAAA